AUGACAUUCUGGAAAAGGCAAAACUAUGGAGACAUUAAAAAGGACCCCAGCCAGGAUAUUGUGACGUUCUCAGUCACCAUGACUCCUGAGAGCCCUCUCUUCAGUGGUGUAUUUUACAUGGUUCUAAAACACACUUUGAAACUAGCAGAAGGAAAGGGGAAAAAGUUAACGAAACAUAUGGUAAGUAGGAUAUAGAAAAUAAGAUACAAAUAAGUCCUAAACUAACAGUAUUAAUAAUAAUUAUAAAUAACAUGUCACUAGCUAAAUACAAAGGCAGAAAAUAUCUAGGCAGAAACUCUUAGUCUUAAUUCUCAGAUUGUGAGGAAUAUACUUAAAAGUAUAGAGAAAGACUGAAAAGAAACAGACAGAAAAAAGAUACAGCAGGUAAAAUAUGAACCAAAGAAAGAAUAAUGAUAUUGGCUGGGUGCAGUGGUUCACGCCUAUAAUCCCAGCACUUUGGGAGGCCAAGGAAGGUGGAUCACGAGGUCAAGAGAUCGAGACCAUGGUGAAACCCUGUCUCUACUAAAAAAUAAAAAAAAUUAGCUGGUCAUGAUGGCAUGUGCCUGUAGUCCCAACUACUUGGGAGGCUGAGGCAGGAGAAUUGCUUGAACCUGGGAGGCAGAGGUUGCAGUGAGCCGAGAUCGUGCCACUGCACUCCAGCCUGGGGCCUGGCGACACAGAAAGACUCUGUCUCAAAAAAAAAAAAAAAAAAAAAGAGUAGUGAUAUUAACAGCUACCAAAUAUAAUUGAAGGUAAAACCAUCAUACUAUCAAGGAGAGAUAUAGCAUAUGAUAAAGCGGACAAACGUGGGCACGUGCACGCGCGCGUGCACACACACACACACACAUAUAUAACAAUAGUCUAGAAAAAGCUAUAAGCAACAACUGGCAGAACAGUAGGAAGAAACAGCUAACAAUAUUGGUCAGAGAUCUUAAUGAAGCCACUUCUUAGGAAGAGAUAGUUCAAUAGGAAAAGCAAGUGAAGGCACAGAUGAGUAGACUAAUGUAGUUCAUAUCUUAAGAGUGAAGCGUAUCGGGGCC
rnacentral:lncRNA from 1 species